CUGGCUUAAACUAAUGAGUAAGGAAAAUAAUGAGUCCCAGUAAUGUAGGGCUUUUGGUAUAUUUAAACCAGACCAAAUUUAUGUGAGGUACAGGUUGGCCUAGGAGACCCGCCUACUUUGAUGGUUAACCGUACGGAUGUGAUGCUGACCA